rnacentral:rRNA from 1 species
UACGUAGGUGGCAAGCGUUAUCCGGAUUUACUGGGUGUAAAGGGCGUGUAGGCGGGAUGUCAAGUCAGGUGUGAAAUUCCAGGGCUCAACCCUGGACGUGCACUUGAAACUGAUGUUCUUGAGUGAUGGAGAGGCAAGCGGAAUUCCUAGUGUAGCGGUGAAAUGCGUAGAGAUUAGGAAGAACACCAGUGGCGAAGGCGAUUCUCUGGACUGUAACUGACGCUGAGGCUCGAAAGCGUGGGAAGCAAACAGGAUUAGA